GGCGUAAAGCGCAUGCAGGUGGUUUGUUAAGUCAGAUGUGAAAUCCCCGCGCUUAACGUGGGAACUGCAUUUGAAACUGGCAAGCUAGAGUCCUGUAGAGGGGGGUAGAAUUUC
rnacentral:rRNA from 1 species